UGAAUAACCGGAUAAAAUUUAUUUUCACUUACUCUAAAAAUUUAUCAAUUUUGAUCACAUUAAAGAUGGAUUAAGUUAGUUUAGCCAUAUUACUGAGUGCCACAAGAAAUAUAAAUAGUAGUGGAACUCGUUCAGCUCUUGACUGUUCAGAGCCACCAUUGAAAGGUUGGAAAAAGUGAUUUAAUAGGCGCUUAGUCUUUUCCUGGAAAAUGUAAAAGUAUAUAACCAGCAAUUGAAUACAUCUCUUGAUAUGGCAGCAAAUGUUUUGCCUUCAGCAAUCAAUAAAACUUAUUCUUGAGAACGACUGCUCUAGUUUGAAUCCAUUUUAAUUUUACUGCAACGGUAAAAACUAUCGUCUAUAACAGGGAUGGCCAAGCUUCAUGUCACUAAGAGCCAUUUAGGAGAAUCUGAAAUAAUUGAGAGCCGCAAUCAGUUUCUUUCUAGAUCAAUAAGACUCUUACCAGUUUUUUCUGGUAAUCUAACAAUAAAUACAAUAUAUCUUAUACAAUGUAUAUUACUUUUUGCAAUAAAUAAACAAAUUACAAAAAUAUUAUUUUUUUUAGUUAAAUAGGUAUUUGCUCUAUAUUAACUAUUGACUUU
rnacentral:lncRNA from 1 species